UCAUCUCCAGCUUUAUUAAGGAACCCGGGCAGGAGGAGAAUGGAGUGCCGGGACCAUCGUUAUCCCAAAGUCUGUGAGGCCCCCUCUACUGAGAGGAGAACACAGCCCACCUAGACGAAGUGCAGCAGACACCUCUGGUCCUUUUCUCUUCACCAUGCCUAAUGUACCAGGGAUCGGGGCGUCAUAACCACAGACCUGGAACCUUGAGAGUCACUGGAUCAAACUCCUUGUGGUGGCUCUGAAGAUGUGUCUACAAAUUCAUUGACACUACACCCCUCAAGAGGCGGAGCUUAAUUAUCCUCUUCUUGAGUGUGGACUGGAGUUGGUGACUAGUCCACUAGAGACUAGAAUAUGGCAGAAAUGAUGGAUGUCACUUGGAAAUAGUCACUUGGAUAAUUCCGAAAUUAGAUUAUGGAAAGGCAGUAGCUUCUGUCUUGGGUUCUCCAUCUGUCUCUGUCUCUGUCUCUGUCUCUGUCUCUGUCUCUGUCUCUUUCAUCACUUGCUCUGGGGAAAGCCAGUUUCCAUGUCAUGAGGCAACCUAGGGGGAGGCCUCUGUCAUAAGAAACUGAGGCCUGCCAACAACCACAUGCAGGAGCUUGGAAAUGGAUCUUCUGAGUCUGCCAACAGCCAUGCGUGUGAUCCUGGAAGCUGAUCUUCCCCCACUGUAACCUCGGGCUGACUGUGGCCCCAGAGCACAUCUUGACUGCAGCCUCAUAAGAGAUCUUGUGCCAGAACCACCCAACUCAGCCACUCCCAGAUUCCUAACCCCAAGAAACUGUGAGAUGGUAGAUGUUUGUCGCUUUAAGCUGCCGCAUUUGGGGGCCAUCGUGAUGCAGCAACAGAUCACUCAUGCCCUCCUGUACUAUGCAGUUGGGAGAAGCGAGGGCCUGCUGGGGAAAGUCACUUCCCAAUUUCACAAAGGACAAGUGAGUGCUUGAAAUUAACUCAAAUAUUUUGACUUCUUGUCUAGUGCUCUUUCCACUACAUCAGACUUCCUCUCACUCCCAUUUCCCACAAAUAAACCAGAAGAAUUGAAUUUGGCAAACCUCUGCCUGCUUGUGAGCGCAGAUUUUUCUGGUAUGAGCGGGAUGGACAUAGCAGGGGACGCAGUGAUGACAGAGAAUUGGUGGGGACAGAGGGCCAUUUAAGGGGCUGUUUGAGAGUAUAACAACCUCCACAUCUGCCCUUCUCCCCAGGGCUCGCUUUUUGGCUGAUAUGGGAAGUUCAACCCACGCGUAUGAAUUCUGAAUUUAAUACAGAACUUACCACCCAGAAAUGACUGGGUGAAGUAAGUGUAAUUUGCCCGUGUUUAUUUUUUUUAUUAUGAACUUAGGCAAAGUUUAUGGAAAAAAGGAACCCGAUGAUCACGAAAUGUAGCUAUUUACAUCUCUCCAAGCUCUCUUUGUGAGUGUUCUUUGCACAGCUGUAAUGGCCUGUGCAGACUCCGUAGUGUUUGCCUUCCUCCCUCAGCAAGUGUUCUGUUGUGCCCCAGGCAGGCCCUGUGCGGCUGGGAGCUCAGAGCCCACUGUGUCUGGCUCUCCCAGACCACCCUCCUGUUCACUCCAUCCUGUGCUGCUGUCCAUUCCUGCUUCUCUGAUCCCUUGGCUCUGCCCCAGCUCCUCUCCCACCCAAGCCUUCUCGCCUGGCUCACUCGUUGGAGCACAGCUGCAUGCUCAGGCGUAGCAUCUUGACACUCCCUCAGCUCCAUGUUGGGCUUGUCCCCGGAUCCUCAUGCUGCAGAGGCAGUAGGCACACACUCCUGUGCUCCUCUGAGCCCUGGAGGCUGCACAGCCUCGUUGUUGAUGCGGGGCCCGAGAUGUCACUGCUUGUGACAAUUUAACUUCCCUGGUGACUCAGGCCACCCUGGUUCUUAGCGUAUCUUCCUCUGGUCUCUCCCACCCUGCCUGAAUCACAGAAGCAGAGGGCUUGUUAGAAUGCGGGUGCCGGGCCCUUACCCAGUCCUUCUGAAUCUGGAGAAGGGGCUGGGAAUCUGCAUUUUUACAACCUCCCCGGGUAAUGCUGGUACCCACUACAAUGGGAGAAUGACGGCUCUGCUGUUGCCCCUUGUUUACGACUUGGAGCUUUGAAAAACGUCUUGAUUGGCCUGGUGUUUUAGAAAAUCUUGGAGAGACUGUCAAGAGCAACCUCGAUUCUCUGAGCCUAAGCCCUCAGAAGGACUGACCUUGCCUUCACCUCCAUUUUCUCCUGGCCACCUGCCUCCUUCUCUUCCCAUGACCUCUUUUCACCUACGGCAACAGCAGGUCAGAAAAAGCCAGGACGUCAUUCUCAUUGGUCUGCUCAGCUUCCCUGGAAGCCCAGGGAAUGGUUUCUGAGGGAGGCACUGGCAAUUAUUGGCCAAAAUGAGGGCUAAGAAUUUCCAAUUGGCCUCUAAGAGUUGGUUUUAUGUGUACUGUGCAUGUAGGAUGGAUCACACGGGUGUUGGGG
rnacentral:lncRNA from 1 species